rnacentral:lncRNA from 1 species
AGAAACUGCUGGAUGCUGAGAGGAACGCAUCAGUGGAAGAAAACAAGCGGCUGGACGUGGAGAGGACGUCAAGGGAGCAUGCCGGCGGAAGAGCACACCACAGACGCCGGCAGGCCACCGAGCGGCAGGACCAGGCGGAGUUUGGCCGGGGCAGUCGGAGGAGAGCUAGGCCACUAAGCAGCUCAACUCCAGGAGAUAAACCAUCUCCCUUGUGGCUCCUCCGUCGGCUGAGAGCUGCUUCCACUCAAUAACACUUUGCACUCGUUCUCCAAGCCCCCGUGUGAUCCGAUUCUUCUGGUACACCCAGGCAAGAACCCAGGAUACAGAAAGGCCUCGGUCCUUUCCACAAGUACCUCUACUUGAGGUACUCAUUGACCUGGUUAACACAAGCUGCCUACAGACGCCAAAACUAAGGGCACCCUGGAACACAGGCUUCAGCUGUAAACAUUCACCCCUGGGCACUGCCGUGGGGUGGGAGCCUGCCUGAGUGUAUGCUCCCCUAGAGGUUUGAGCUGCGGGGCACUGAAGAAGUGAGCCACACUCCCAUCGCACACUGCGAGGGGGACAAAGGAACUUUUCCUCUUUUAACUGGGGCCUCAUCUGGAAUCUCGGAAGGUGAAUGUCUGCCUUCGAAAACCCUACCACCUGUCUUUCUUGUGGAUCACCCUGGCCUGCCAUGCCCCCAUCCUGGGCCUAUAAAAACCCUGAGACCCUAGCAAGGCAGAGAUAGAAGCUGCCGGAUGCUGAGAGAAACACAUCAGUGGAAGGGAAGAAGAAAAGCGGCUGGACAUGGAGAGGACGUCAGUGGAGCAUGCCGGCGGAAGAGCACACCCACAGACCCUGGCACGCCGGCAGGCCACGUAGCGGCAGGCCACGUAGCGGCAGGCCACGUAGCGGCAGGCCACGUAGCGGCAGGCCAAGGCGGAGUUUGGCCGGGGCAGUCGGAGGAGAGCUAGGCCACUAAGCAGCUCAACUCCAGGAGAAAACCAUCUCCCUUCUGGCUCCUCCAUCAGCUGAGAGCUGCUUCCACUCAAUAACACUUCGCACUGAUUCUCCAAGCCCAGGUGUGAUCCGAUUCUUCUGGUACACCCAGGCAAGAACCCAGGAUACAGACAGCCCUCUGUCCUUUUGAUAACUAGAGGGUCUCAUUGACCUGGUUAACACAAGCUGCCUACAGACGGCAAAACUAAAAGAGCACCCUGGAACACACGCCCACUGGGGCUUCAGCUGUAAACAUUCACCCCUAGACACGGCUAUGGGGUUGGAGCCUGCCUGUCUGUAUGCUCCCCUAGAGGUUUGGGCAGCAGGGCACUGAAGAAUCAAGCCACACCCCCAUCGCACACCCUGCGAGGGGGACAAGGGAACCUUUCUCUUUUCAGUUGGUCUUAAUAAACACUGAGUAAAUGAAUGAUUACGCACUCAGAAAAAUCAGUUAUCCUCUCCCACUCCGUGCCUGGGAAGUACCAACGGGUACUGAAACGUAAUGAGUAAUGUCUAGAGAUUUUCUCCACAGGAUAGAAACAAAGCUCAAAGAGGCAGCAAGUUGAAGAAAGUGUGACACUGUUUUAUUUUUAGGAUUUUUUCCUCUUUUUUAAAAUAAAUAUACGUGUAGAGAGACAGGGUCUCCCUUUGUUGCCCAGGCUGAUCUCGAACUCCUGAGCUCAAGCUGUCCUCCCACCUCAGCCUCCCAAGGGCUGGGAUCACUGGCAUGAGCCUCUGCACCCAGCCCUUAGGAUUUUUUUUUCUUUUUUAAAAUUUUAAUUAUUUUAUAUAUAUUUUUAAGUUCCAGGGUACAUGUGCAGGAUGUGCAGGUUUGUUACAUAGGUAAACGUGUGCCAUGGUGGUUUGCUGCACCUGUCACCCUGUCACUAGGCAUGAGGACCAGCAUGCAUUAGCUCUUUUCCCUAAUGUUCUCCAUGCCCCCUGGCCCAGCCCUCUCCCAACAGGCCCCAGUGAGUGUUGUUCCCCUCCCGGGAUUUUUUUUCUUAAGGAAACACACCACAUCAGGCGUUGAAGUGAGUGUAUUGACUGUCUGAGGUUUGUGUGCACUUUUUAACCAGAAGUCAUGGCUGGGGACACAAAAGCACCUCCUUGCCUAUGUAGUUUUGUUCCUUUACUGCUUUAAACAAGCAAGAUGUGGUUUGCAUUCCUUUCGCUGCUGGUGUUGUUGGCUUUGUGUUUCUCAACAGAAAUAACUUGCCUUGCCUUUGCUCUCAAGGUUGUGAAAGCCCCCCACCCCCAUAUGUUCCUUCCACUCAUUUGUCACCGAGACCCUCAGUGUUGCUAUCUGUGCAUAAUGUGUGUGGGUCGGGUUGUGUCAAGCAUCAGACGACGUCGGUACCUCUCCUCACUGUGAAGGAUGACCCUGUACACACCACUGCUCUAGGCAAGGAUGCGACCCACCGUCCCGGGGUUAACCACAUCAGUGUCACCAUCACAAGGGGGUGACAGCCCUUUACAGAUUACAUCUCCUUUUCCUGGUGAUUCUCCCUCUUAAUCCCUAAAUGAGUCCUGCAAGAUGGGUGUUGAUUCUUCCUAUAGCACAGCUGAAAGAGUUGAAUGGCUCGUCCUAGAGCACACAGUUUGGCAGGGCUGAGUAAAAUGAAACCCAGUGCUUGUCCCUCCAGGCUGCGGCGAACCUGCACUAGAGUUUUAUGAAAGUCCAACUUCCUGGCGAUAGGCAGAAAAAGCAACGAUCACCUUCCCUGAUAUUUUCACCUAGCAGACAGUCUUCAGCCCAGAGAACAUCUUCCCAAAGUCCAAGACAGAAGGUACAUGUAGAAAUGAAAUAGAGGUUCCUCUUCAAAGGGACUUUCCUCCCAGUCUAAUUCAGAAUAGAUAGUAACCUCUUCUAGAAGCAAAGUUUACUCAAAGACCUGUGUUAAUAUUCUUAAAUUCUGCUAGCUGUAAUAAAGAAAUCAAUAUACUCUGUUCUUAGCUCCCACAUUUUAGUCUAGGUAUUUGCCCUGGCAUGCCUGAACCAGUCCAAGCAAGAAUUAGGUCAUAGCCUCUUCCUCUUCCUUAUUUGGAAGUGUUUUUGCCUCUCUCAGCAUUCCACAAGUUACUUCCUCUCUUCCUUUGUUCUCCUCUGCCUUUGCCUCUUUUGGGAAGUUCUAAGUUGCUAGCCAAUCGAGACAAACAGAAUGUAAGGUCCCAUUCCAGCCGAUAGAAACUGGGCACAGCAGUAGGGUAGCUGCGUCAGGUUAUAAAUGACCCUGUCUUUUUUUGUGUGUGCUCUUGUGGCAAGACUGCUAGCGAGCGGCACCCUUUCUGCAGAAAGUAAACUAGCCUUGCUGAGAGAUCCUUUGUCUCAGUGUUGAUUUCUGCAACACCGAGCACCCGUUCCCAACAGUAAAUGUGUCUGCCUGUGUGUGUACACAUCCACCCAUCAGCCACAACCCUAUGCCUGAAGCCAGGCACUAGAAUGAAAUUCUCAGGGUCAUGUCAUGUUUCAGAUUUCAAGUCUCACUUCCCGCACCUGUUACCAUUUGGGUCUAUGUCUCCCUCCCAGAUCAUCCUCUGAUUCUACCAGAGCCAAACCCGGAACCCUCUGCUCAUUUCACCCUUUCAACACACAUUUUCCAGGCACUUCUGCUGCUCAGCAUCUCCCAAGGGUGAGCCCUGAGCUCUUGCAGGGAUGAAUGCUUUCCAUGGCUUUUCUGUCUGCCUGCAGUUACAACCCCUGAUCUCUGGGGACAGGACCUGCCAGGUCUGUCUGGAGAAUACCCAUGUGAGACUGAAACUGGCUUCUCCCACUCUCAGCCCCAGUGACCUGCUCUGUAAGGCUGGUUAUAGGUGUGGCUGCUGCCCCUGCCCAAAUGCUUUAGGUUUCCCUCCUGGGAUUCUCCUGCCCCUCUAAGCAGCUCUCCAGGGGACCCCAUCCUGACAAAGAAAGCAGAAAAUGGAGUUCCUGAUGAGAAAAGAACUGUUCUGUGAGGAACACAAGUCCUUUUACAUGAUCGGGCACAGAGAGAUGUGGAGAGGGGACAGGAGUCCUGUCCUUCUCCCUCUGAGCUGUGUGUUCAUCUUCAGGAGCUGCGUGCGAUGACCAUGAGGAGCCACUAACUAACAAAUCAUGCCCACCGGAUGCUGCAACCUGCACCACGUAGCUUAGCAGUGUUAUUUCUGUGAGCCAGCGAGACUCCCGACAAGCAGCUUUGUGUCGGCCUGCUCCAUGUCACCCUCUUUUGCCUUAAAAACCUGCCUAUAAUGAAGGCCAAAGAAAGCAAGCUCAUGGCCGGGAAGCUCACAGCCAGGCGUACGUGGGUGUGAGUCUUCUGGGCUGCUGUCCUCACCCUGGCUCAAGUCAACUCUUUAAGUUAGACUUCAUGCCUCAGCCUCUUCCUUUUAGGUGAACACUGAUGGGAAUACAGGAAGGGCCCCCAUCCUUCCCUGUCUGAAGCUCAGACUCCGCAUGAGAGGACUUCCCACUCCAUCUCAGGAUGGAGACAGCCUGCUGAGGAUGCAGCUUUGUCCAAUGAGGUCAGGAGGGCUGGUGGCAGCGUCUGUUAAUUCCGUUGGGGCAGCCAGUGGCAACUGGCAGUUAUUCCAGCUGAGGAUGCUGGGAUGGAUUUUUUUUUUUUUUUUUUUUUUUUGAGACAGGGUCUUCCUCCGUCAUCCAGGCUGGAGUGCAAUGGCAUGAUCUCGACUCACUGCAGCCUCAACCUCCUGGGUUCAAGCAACUCUUCUGCCUCAGCCUCCCAAGAAGCUGGGAUUACAGACGUGCACCACCAAGCCUGGCUAAUUUUUGUAUUAAUAGAGGGUUUCACCGUGUUGGCCAGGCUGGUCUCGAACUCCUGACCUCGUGAUCCUCUGCUUCGGCCUCCCAAAUUGUGGGGAUUACAGGCGUGAGCCACCGCACCUGGCCUGGGACGGAAUUUUAAGUGAACUGCGGCCCUUAGCUCAUGAGCCCAGCUUCGGUGUCUGAUGAAACGACACCGCAGGGAUGGGGGAGAGGGGAAGAUUCGCAGGUCACGCCGAAACCUCUGGUUAGCCCCGGCUUCCACAUCCUUCCCAAAAUCUUUAGCCCAAGUGCCGCACAGCCCCUUUUGCAUGUCUUCCCCACUCCUUGGUGGCAGAGGCCCCUGUUGGUAAAGCAACAAUAGAGAAGUGGAGAAGAUAAAGAGCUGUGAAAACUGCCCCAGAGAAGCUGCAAGAAGCUUUGCUGGAAUCAGGUUUUGCAUCUCCGAAUCGGAGCUCCAUUUGUUGGGUCGGGGACCAUGCUUAGUGGUUCAAGAACUGACAGAAGAGGUGUUUGCAAAAUGCUUGUUGGGAGGAUAAACAGCUAAAGGAAAUUUUAUCUGAGCCUGAGAACCGCCUGCACCAGCACAAAAGUAAAGCCCCAGCGCCCUCGGGCCAGGCCUGCUGGAAAAAUUCCCAUGUGUCAGCCCCAGGAAGACGUGGGCAAGAUGAGGCGUAUCCUGACCAACGCAGGAAAUGGCCCUGCUCUUCUGCUGGCCCCUCUUCCACCAUCGAGGCCGCUCAUCCAAGCGGCGGGAAGUAAGAGGGUCAACUUUUGCACGGCCAUUGAGAGGUUUCCUGGAAACCUGGCUCUCUCCCCACCGUUGCCCCAUGAGCAUGGUGGUGACGAGCUUGGGCUCUGAGAUCAGAAAGUCUCAAGUGUGAAACCUCAGUCUUCUUCCUUAUUAGCUGUGAGACUUUGGGCAAAUUACUUAACCUCUCUGAACCUUAGUUUCCUCAAACUGUAAAAUGGGGCAAAUGUUGGGUGACACUCAGCAUAACGUCAGAAAUAGUGCCCAAUAAAUGUUGAUCUCAUCGGCCCCACA